rnacentral:lncRNA from 1 species
UUCAAACUACAAGAAAGUUCUAGGUGCACGAGAAACAAAUUCAACAUGCCAAAAUCGACGAUUCAAAGCAUCGAUCACCGGUGAUCGAUUUGAAUAGGCGAGGUAACGAAAGAG